rnacentral:sRNA from 1 species
UGGUUGUCUUUUUGUUGCCACCUCGGCCAC